GGACAAAAUUCUAAAAUCUCCAAGUAUCAUCUUUAAAAAAAACUAAUACAUCAAUCAAAGUGAUAUUGUCCAAAUAGCUCUAAACUCAAAAAAAUUCAAACAAGAAUUAAGUUUUAACAUCUAAACAAUAUCCAAAAUAAAUAGAGUUUAAACAAAUAUCGUAAUAAAGCCAAAUUUCCCUCCUAGCUGUCACCCCUCGCCCGAACUGAGGUUACCUAAAAGAUUAUCAACAAAGGGGGAUGAACUUAAAGCCCAAUAAGGAACAUUAAUAUAGUUUCAUGGAUAAAACAUUUUUACUCAUGCUUGCAAAUGGGAGUAUUUCAAAUAUAAUCACGCACCCUCAUACAUCCCAUGAACCUUUGCAUAUCAAUAGAAGAUAGUAAAUGACUUAUCAUUUAAACAAGCCUAUUUGUAGUAAUAUGUGUAUAAAAAAUACAUUAAUUAUUUAAGAAACUUCUAUGGUACUGAAAAAGUACAAUACAAAAUAUUCACUAUUAGUCAUUUGAUUUUGAGAUUGAAUCUCCACCAUUCAAUUAAAAGAUUUGGAAAUAUUUUAAAAAAUAAAGAUAAUAAUGAAGAAUUGAUAAGUAAGUAAAACAAAUCUAUAAAUGCAAAUAAAAAGAGUUUUAUUGAUAGACAUACAAUGAAGAACCUUAAUGUUUCUCCUUUCUGUUAUGCUUUUUUGUUAUAAUAAUAAUGAUGAUGAUAAUAAUAAAUAUAAAUAUAAAAGUACUUUUUUCAAUCGAUUUAUUUUUUGUGAAGGUACCAUGCAUGUAUCAUUACUCAAGUCUAAAGUUUGACAUGUUUAGUUAAUGAAAAUAUAUGAUACACAUAGUGGAAGCACUUCCAAAGGUGACCACAUUGCUUAAACAUGCAUGUUAGUUCAACAUUCAUUAUAUUGCAAAUGGUGACAUAUGUUUCAUACACAAAAGCACUCGUUUUACUCAAAUUUGUUAGAAUUAGUAAAAAUUUGACUACAAUAUAAAUAAUGUUACAAAGAUAUAAAAAUUAUGACAAAUAUAAAUAAAACAACAACACAAUGUGAAUACAGUAGUAACCAUAAAAAUUGUGACAAUUGUACCAAAAACUAAUUAGAGUACAAAAAAUAUGAUCAAGUAUAAAAAAUGUAAUAAGGAUAUAAAAAUUUUAAUUGAGGUACUAAAAUAAGAAAAAUGUGAUCACCUCAAUACAAAUAAUGUAAUCUAGGUACCAAAAAUAGGGCCCAUGCACUAAGGUACGAAUGUGAUCUAAGUACAAGUUAUUUAACCAAGUUCCAAAAAUUUUAACUAAGGUACAAAAUCUAUAAUUAAGAUGUUAAGGCACAAAAGACAUAACCUAAGUACAAAGAAUAUAAAUAGUGUAUAGACAGUGUGACUUAGUUUUAAUUAAUUAUUUAUGUAUAAUUGUAGGCCCUCCAUUUUGUCCUCUUAGCACAUGUAACAUCAAAUGUUCCUCCUAUUCCCCUCUUGGUCCCUAGUCAUCCCUUGGUGGUCUAUUGACAUUCAUUCGACUUACUCUUUCCUAGCUAUCUUUGGAGACCUUGGUUGAAGGAUUUGUUUGCUCCUUCUUUGUGACCCUUGGCAACCUCAAGUUAGAUAUAGGAUUUUCCUUUUUUCUUUGUAGGAUAGCUCAUUUAGAUACACUUUUUAGAUCACGUAGACACCUUUUGAGAAUAUGAACACUUUUAUUUUCAAACAAAAAUUGCAUGAGUUUGAUGAAAUUAAUUCUUUUUAAUUUGCGUGAAACAAUAUGUUGUUUUUUGUAAUAUGCAUGUGAUUGAUAUUUUAGUUUUAGUUACAUAAUUUUAUUAUUAUUAUUAUUAUUUUCAAUUAUAGGUUUUUUUAUUCUACUUCUUUUUAAGUUUCUCAAAAUUUGUUCUUUUAUUAAUGAAUGUUAUUGGUCUCCAACCAAUUGGAGUUAAAUCCGUCUAAGUUAACAAGGGUUAGACAACCUUCUUCCUUAUGUUAUGCUUCUUAGAGCUCCUGCCUAGUAAUGGGGAGACUGGGUGAGCUUCUUUCCUGCAUAAUGGAUGUUUGGAUAGGUGGUCUAAGCAUGCCCCUUUGAAACUUAAGUUAAGCAAAAAUAGACUAGACUCCUCAAAGGAGGGAGUGAGUAGGUCAGCUGAUGUGUGCCUACCUUGUUUGUGCCUCAGAAAGGUUUUUAUAGUGCUGAAAGAAAGCCACUAUAGUGUUGACUAAGCACUUUAACCUUCUCUGUAAUGAUGAUCGUCUUGUGGGUGGCAAGGCAAUCAUUACAUCUUUGGGCAGCUGGCAGGUGCCGUAAGAUGAUAUGGCAGGUGCAUAUCCCUUCAACCUGCUGGUGGUAUAGAGUUGUGUGUGGUAAUUAAUUGACAUGGACUGGAGGGUUGGGGGAGAUCUCAUCAACCAUUCCCAUGUCAGACAUGAAUGAUUACACAUAAUAGUGGGCCUUGAAGGCGUGAUUGGGUGGUUCCGUCUGUUUAGGGAGUCCAGUCUUACUUUCCAUCUGUUCUCGUAUGGGAAGGACCCAUUUUUGUCUGUGACCAAAUAAAUUGGACGUAGUCCGGAUGGAAGAAUUCGAACGCUGCUUGUCCCACUAUCUGGAUAGUGCUGGGAUUGGACAGUGACACGUGGAAUGACACAUGGAGGGAAACUCCUACAAUGCCCCCAUUUUACUCCGUUUACCUAUGUUCGAGUAGAGGUGGACGGGUUAUGUGUCUCUUCAAAUCACCCAAGUACUUUUUCAACACGUGUUACUUGGGAAAUUAAAUAUGGGUCAUUUUCACCGAGGCCAUCUAUCAAGUGGCGCAUUGAUUUGAGGUGCAUUUCCAAGUAGUUUGUUUUUUGGGAUCCUUAAGGUUUCGAUAUCCUAUAAAUAGGGGAUUCCAAAACUUUUUAGGUUACUUUUUGAACAUUCCUUUUUUGGAACAUUUUCUUUCCAGUCUCUGCACAUUCAUUGUUGUUAUGCCAGUCAUCGUUCUUUCUCCGUUGUGUUGUUGCUAUUUCCAAGCCUUCUACAGGCAGACUCUUCCUUUGCUUGGGGUCAUUCUUGUUGGCUUUGGUGAGCUUGCUUCUCUUUGCAUUCAUUUUUUUUUUUUCUGUUUCUUUGUUUGCUGUUAGGACUGCUUUAGGAUUUGUGAGUUUUCUUGGAUGCAAAGUGAACGUUAUGAAGUCCAAACUGUAAGGCUUUUGUGCUCUAUUGGGGAAAGUAACUGCCAUUGAGGGGAGAAGGUUGGUAGAAUCUGUUAUGUUUAGGGUUUUUCACAUUUGCCUUUUCUGUUUCUUUUCUGUUGGUGCCCUAAGUAGUCUCCUUAGGCAUUUUGGCCUGUAGUAGUUGUGGUGGCAUAAUGGGAAAGUCCUUUCUUGGGGUUAGGGCUUGCUCUCCAAGUUGGGUUAGGCAUCCUGCUUAAGUGUGGGCUUUAGAUUUGCUUAGGUUGCUUGUUGUACAACUAAGGCACUACCUAAUGGCAGAUGAGUCAGGUGACUGUUUUUCUAACACUUUGUGUUGUGCUGCGCAGGUUUCACGUGUCCUAGAGUUUCUCAGUUAUGUCAGUAAGAGGGGCAUUGCUUCCACCAGCACAAGUGGUAGAGGUCAGAAAAAGGGUUGAAAUGGUGUAGUUGUUGAACGUCCUUGGUUGGAAUGCCCAGUCUACCUUCUAACCGAACAAGAAUUCUAGGAUCACUUUCGCAUCUCGAACGUCAUCUCCAUACUUUUGGUAAACGACAAACCUACGCCCAUUGAGAAGUUGUCUCAUAAUGCUACCUACUUUAGCAAGGAGCAGUUCAAUGUAGGGCUUCGUUUCCCUCUGCCUUCUUUGCUCAAGCAGUUUUUCCAUUUCACCAAGAUCCCUCCAGCAUUUCUUCACCCAAAUGUUGUCCGAGUGCUAAUGGGGUGUAGCGUCUUAGAUAUGCUCUACCACCUGGAUCUCUCCUUGCUGGAGAUCGUCUUCGUCUAUACAAUUAAGAUGAGCCAGAAAGAGAGGUUCAACUUGUCCGCCCAUAUCUCCAGUUAGUGAUAGGGCUUCCAGAUUAGAACAAGGGCGGGGCAAAGGCCACAUCCUUGUUUAUGGUCCCUGGGGUGAUCUAUAUGAGAGUUCGAACAGGGAAUUCCAUUUGUGAUGCUCAUUGUAGAUUUUGAGUAGGAGAUGCUCUUACGACUUUUGUUCGUCCUUUAUAGCGUGUUAGAUGUGAACUCAUUGUUGAUGUUUCUUGUUUAUACGGUGUAGAGAAGGACAAGAGGGGUCAACUCAUGGAAUGAGUGGAGAAGGCUUCUUUUGACCGACUCAACAAGCUUUUUGAGAUAUUUAUAGCUGGGUCGAACCACUAAGUUCUUUUGACGGAUAGGAACCUGCUAGCGAUGGUCAAGAAGUCCAAGUCGUUCAUCAUCCCCAUACUUCCUUGUUUGGCUCCUCAGGCCUUGGUGCCCGACGAGCACCACGUGCUGAAGGAUCUCUCUUGUUAUGAGGUUGGUCAUGCGGUGGACUCAAAAGCACGCCAGGACCUCUUGGAGCAAAGGAAAAAAAAAUUCACAGGAAGGGAAGCUAAGGCAAGCUCCAGCCACAAGCCGCCCAACAUCUAAUUCUGUCGUUCGCCUUCCUACUAAGAAAUAGGGCCCUGUCAUUCAACCUAUUCAAAGGCCUCCAAAUCCGCCACGCGCAUCUCCUGCUCAUUCUGCUUCAACUUCUGCAUCCUCGUAUUCUGUCGCCGGCACUGAGCCAGAGGCAAAGGUCAAGCCAGUAGUGUCUCCUAUCAUCUAUGAAGAGGAGGAAUAGGAGGACAUGGAUGCAAACCUGAGAGCCAGAUUCAGGGAGAGGUAGCGCAAACGCUUGUUCGAAUCCAUCAUGGUCGUUCAUCCUGCUAAAAAGUCCUGUAUGGAGGUCCGCUGCCCGAAAUUGGUCUUUGCCAUUGCAUCGACACCAGAGCCUUCAGCCGUCGCUGUAGGUAGUAACCCUACGCUAGACAAAAAGCCUUUCUCAACUGGAGCAACCGCUCAACCUGAGCUAGGGGGCCUUCCAUUGGUCUGACGCAACUCAGCAACAACUCUGUUGAGUGUGUUGCUUCCGCUCCCCACAUUCUCAAGCGCCUCAUGCUCCCAACUGGGAUGAGAUAAUUGAAUUGAUGAAACAAAUUUCCUACUUUACAAAGAGGGAGACCCUUAUGAACAACAUAGGGGACCUCUUUCCGGCCACCCCGUGGGUUUCAAUAGACCUAGAUGGCAAUCCCAACAUUUCCUUUGUGGCCCGACUUCCAUUCGACAACCCAAAAUCCGUCACCUCCCGUAUUUUUCCUAUGCAAGAUUACACAACCAUCGAGACAACGAAAGUGGUAAGCCUCUCAUCUCUUUUGUUCAUAAUGCCUUAGUCUUUUGAUUUUUUUAAUAUCUUCAUUGUUGUCAUCUCAAAUAGUAGCCGACGUUUGUAAUUUGAUGCGACAACGUGUUCUACUCUUUAAACGGUUGAAGGUUGUCGAGACUAUGAGAGUGUAUAUUGCCCAUAACAUGGACGAUAGUGAAGAACUCCGCUCUAAGCUGAAAUCAGUAGGGGACGAGCUUGCUAUUGCUCGGAAGGUUGCUAAGAAGGGAGUCGGGUUGCUAAGAAAGUCAAAAGAAGAGAGAAAGACGACCGAAGCUGAGGCCCAUUGGUUGAAAGGGGGAGACGGAGGCUAAGCGUACGUAAGAAGGCUGAACAAUAGAAUGAAUGGCUGAGGCAGAAGAUGGAAGAGCUUCGGGUAGGGUUCAUUGCUAAAAAGGAAGGGUUGGAGGGCAAGUACCAAAAGUAGGUAGAUCACAUGUUUUUGUUCAGCUACCGGUGCUGCAUGAAGAAACAAGGCAUACUUAGGACACCCUUAAUUACACUUUAGGUGAUGGGGAUGUAGCAAUCGACGACCCUACCCGAGGAAAUGGAGAUGUUGCUAAAGUUGACCCCUCUAGUGGGUAGACAUGGUCUUUAUUCCUGUAUAUUUUUUGUUUUUUUUUCCUAGCUGGAAAUGGCCCCACAGGAAGUUGUAAUGAAUGCUCAUAUAUUUUUCUAAAUACAAAAAUACUUGUUUUUUUUUUUCUCUAUUCCAUAUACAUUUUACUUUUCAUAAGCCAAUUUUACUGAUAAUACUGCUUCAAGUUGGACACAUUCCACGAGCAGAGUAAGGGUACUUCGUCCAGUGUUUGGAGAUGGUAUGCCCUUGAGUCUUCGACCUUGGUCAUAAAGUAGGGGCAUGUCCAAUUAGCCUGAAGGUUUUCAGCCCCCACCUCCGCCAUGUUCUCAAAGACUUUUAUGAGGACAAAGGAUCCGGUGCAAAAAAUACGUGGUCAGCCCUUUUUAUUAUAGUGAGUGAAAACUUGCUAUUGAUAGGAGGCUAUUCGGAUGGUCCUGCUUCCCCUUACCUCAUCUACCCAAUCUAGUUGCCUCACAAUUUCUUAAGUGUCAUAUCUUUGACCUUGCACGACUAUUUUGGAGGUGGACAUACCAAUCUAAGUUGGAAUAACAACUUCCAUUCCAUAGGCGAGGGCGAAAGGAGUGGUCCCUAUAGGCCACCCGGGCGUUGUUCGGUAUGCCCAUAGAACCCCCAACAAUUCAUUUACCCAUUUUUCUUUGUCUCAUUCCAGCCUUUUCUUUAGUGCAGUUGGUAGGGUUUUUUUUGUUGCCUCUACUUGCCUAUUACUCUGAGGAUAGCAAAGCGUGGAAUAUAAAUUUUUAAUAUUUAUCUUUGAGUAGAAGGUUUUGAAUGCGAUGCUGUUGAAUUGCGGCCCGUUGUCUGCUAUGAUUGCUUAUAGAAUCCCGAACUGGCAAACGAUGUUCUUCCAAACAAACCUAGAGACGUCUUUGUCUUUGAUGCUAGCAUAGGCUUCUGCUUCUACCCAUUUGCUGAAGUAGUCAGUAGCUAUGAGUAGAAACUUUUUUUUCAUGGCUGCAAUAGGUAAGAGGCCAACUAUGUCCAUCCCCCAUAGCGCGAAUGACCAAGGGCUCAUUAUUAGAUUAAGAACUUCAGAUGGCAUACAGGGGAUGGGAGCGUACCACUGACACUGGUCACACUUCUUAACAUAAUUUUCAGUAUCUUGUUUCAUGGUGGACCAAUAGUAUCCUUGUGUGUGAGCACGAUAUGCUAAUGUUCGCCUGCCUAGAUGAUUGCUGCACACACCUUUGUGGAGUUCAGCUAGGACUUACUGGGUCUUUGGAUUGUUCAAACAUUUCAGGUACGAUUCUUUAAAAGAUCGCCUAUAAAGGCUGCUAUUGAUUAGAGUGAAGCGGACGGCCUGUACAUGAAUCUUAUGAGCAUGCUUCUCAUCAUUUGGUAGUUCUCCCAUUUGGAUAUAUUUCAUAAUUUCAUGCAUCCAUCCAGGGCCCAUCUCAAUAGUAUUAUAUACUGGUACUGUCGCAAUUGAGGUUGCGGCCUGGAGGUAGACAGGCAGCAUUACGACUUUCUUUAUAGCGAGAGUAGUAGCUAUUCCGGUCAAUGCAUCAACCUUUAAAUUUUAUGUCUGGAGCACUCGUCUAACUGCUUAUUCAUCUAACUUUCCUAAGCAGUCUUCUACCAGGGUGAGGUAGCGAGCCAUACAUUCGCCAUUAGCUUUAUACUCUUUCUAAAUUUGCUUGACGAUUAACUCAUAAUCGCUACAUAUUUUCAACUUGAUUAUCGAUAAAGUUAAGGCAAGGUCCAUCCCAGCCAAGAUUGCCUCGUAUUCAACUUCAUUGUUUGAAGCAGGAAAACUGAGCCGGAUAGUCUACUCUAGCAAUUCCCCGAUAGGUGACUAUAAGAUUAGGUCCACCCCGGAACAGGAGGCUUUAGAUGUUCCAUCUACGUGAAGUAUCCACAAUCCUUCCCUAAGGGGCUCAUCCAAGUAAGAUGGUUUUUGGGGAAGUUAAGAUAUAAAGUCGUCCAUAACUUGUCAUUUCAAUGCCAAUCUUAGCCAGUAUUUGAUUCCGUACUCACUUAACUCGAUGGCUUACUUCAACAUUCAUUUGGAUAAGUCCGACUUGUGCAAGAUGCUUCUGAGUGGUUGAUUUGUGAGUACGAUCACUUGGUCGGCAUGAAAGUAUGGGUGGAGUUUCCGGACGGUGCUUUUGAGGGCUAAGGUCGUUUGCUCCAUCCUGGAGUAUCGGUUUCUACAUCCACCAUAGCUUUGCUUACAUAGUAAAUGAGCCUCUAUUUUUUAUCUUUUAUGUGAUGAAAUAAAACAGCACUAACCACAUAGUUAGACAUGACCAAAUACAUGUAGAGUUGUUUACCUGACUGAGGGUUACUUGGAAUAGGUGGCUUAGUAAGGUAGUGUUUGACUCGAUCUAAUGCCCACUUGCACUCAUCUUUCCAACCAAUUGCGCUUGCCUCCAUAGUUCUGAAAGGCGCGCCUAAGGCGCGCCUAGGCUCGGGGCGGCGUGACGCCAUCCUCCGGCGCCUCGCCUGAAGAGAGGCGACGCCCCUUCACGAAGGCGCCGCUUAGGCGCGCAAGGCGCUCGCCUCCAGCAAGGCGCGAGGCGGUCGCCCGAGUCGCCUCCGACGGCCCGACCAGGUACGCACUCCUCCUUCUCCUUCUCCUUCUUCUUCUUCUUCUUCUUCUUCUUCUUCUUCUUCUUCCUCCAGUCGGGUUGCAGAGACGGGGCAGCCCUAGUUUUUUUUUCAGUUUUUUUUUUAUAUUUUAUGGGCCCAAAACGACGCCGUUUGGACACUGUGCACUUAAGUGAACAGUGACCAAAACGACAUCGUUUUGGACCCUGUUAUUCAAAACAUAAAAUCUCCUUCCAUCCAGCCCCCUUUUCUGCUGUUUUUCAAUCCGAGACCACUGCCAUUUUUUGCCCUAGCCUCUUCCGUGCUGGAGAAGUGAAGAAGAAGAAGAAAAAUAAGAAGAAAAAUAGAGGGAAAAUAGGAGAAAAAUAAAGAGGAAAUAGUCACGUACCUUCCGGACCUCGGUAUUUUUCUUUUUUCUUCACUUUUCUGCAUUUUUUUCCAUUCUUACCUCAUAACUCUCAUUGGUAUUUUUUUUUAAAAAAAUAUAAAUAUUAUAUUUUGAGUUUUUGACAUGAAAAUUUUACAAAAUAAAAAUAAAUAAAUAAAAAGCACUCAUGCAUAUUUGUUGUUAAUGUGAUAUUUGAUAAUGUGAUAUGCAUUUUUUUUUCAAUUUUUUUUCUUAAUUUAAUUAUAAUUAUUUUAUUGUGGAGUAUAGAUAAUUUGUUUGCAAGAUGGAUAAUGAGAGUGAGACUCAAGUGGACUCUAGUGCAAGUGGAAGAAGAGAUCUAGGGUGGAAAUAUGGUCGUUUGGUUAAUGAAAAAGAUUUGAACACCAUCAUAUGCAUUUUUUGUGAUAAAGUAACCAAAGGAGGCAUCUAUAGACACAAACAACAUCUUGUUGGUGGAUAUAGAAAUGCUAAAAAGUGUAGAAAAUGUCCGGAACAUGUUAGAGAAGAAAUGGAAGAGUAUAUGAGUUCCAAGAAAAAUCAAAAAGAGCAAAUGAAUAUGGGGAGCGAAUAUGUUAAUGAAGAUUUGUUUGGUUUGGAAGAUGAAGAUAUUGGUGAGGAGAUUAAUAGUAGAACGAAUAUCACCAACAUUUCUAGUGGAGGUAGUAACCGAGGAGGAAGUGGUGGUAGGACGUUUUCUUCAAAAAAAACCAAGACAAAAAGGUCCUAUAGAUCAUUUUUUCACUCCUAAUGCAGAGAUGGUUGUUCAAAAUCAAAGGAGUGGAAAGAUGAAUCAAACUACCAUCAAUGAUGCCUACAAAAAGGAAGUAAGAGAAAGAGUUUGCACGCUUAUCACAAGAUGGAUGUAUGAGGCUGCUAUUUCAUUUAAUGCAGUCACAUAUCCGAGUUUCCAACCAAUGAUUGAGGCUAUUGGCCAAUAUGGUGUGGGUAUGAAGGGACCAACUUUUCAUGAGGUAAGAGUUACUAACCUUAAGAAAGAAUUGGCUCUCACAAAAGAUUUGAUGAAAGAUCAUAUGGUGGAAUGGGGGAAAAAUGGAUGUUCAAUUAUGUCGGAUGGAUGGACCGAUAGGAAAGAGAGAACUUUGGUGAAAUUUUUGGUUAAUUGUUCAAAGGGAACCAUGUUCAUGCAAUCCAUUGAUGCUUCUUCAAUGAUUAAGACGGGAGAAAAGAUGUUUGAGUUACUUGACAAAUGGGUAGAGCAAGUUGGUGAAGAGAAUGUUAUUCAAGUUAUAACAGAUAAUCACUCAAGUUAUGUGAUGGCAGGUAAUAAAUACUAUUUCUUGAAUUUUUAUUUACUUUUAAAAUUUGAAUUAUUUAUCUUGAGAACUUAUGUAAAUUUAUUAUCUACAAUUUCAUAUACGGAGGUUGUUAGAAUUAAAGCGUCCACAUUUGUAUUGGACACCAUGUGCUGCACAUUGCCUUGACUUGAUGUUGGAGAUAUUGGAAAGCUACCAANNNNNNNNNNNNNNNNNNNNNNNNNNNNNNNNNNNNNNNNNNNNNNNNNNNNNNNNNNNNNNNNNNNNNNNNNNNNNNNNNNNNNNNNNNNNNNNNNNNNUUGAUGAAAGAUCAUAUGGUGGAAUGGGGAAAAAUGGAUGUUCACUUAUGUCGGAUGGAUGGACCGAUAGGAAAGAGAGAACUUUGGUGAACUUUUUGGUUAAAUGUCAAAGGGAACCAUGUUCAUGCAAUCCAUUGAUGCUUCUUCAAUGAUUAAGACGGGAGAAAAGAUGUUUGAGUUACUUGACAAAUGGGUAGAGCAAGUUGGUGAAGAGAAUGUUAUUCAAGUUAUAACAGAUAAUCACUCAAGUUAUGUGAUGGCAGGUAAUAAAUACUAUUUCUUGAAUUUUUAUUUUCUUUUAAAAUUUGAAUUAUCUAUCUUGAGAACUUAUGUAAAUUUAUUAUCUACAAUUUCAUAUAGGGAGGUUGUUAGAAUUAAAGCGUCCACAUUUGUAUUGGACACCAUGUGCUGCACAUUGCCUUGACUUGAUGUUGGAAGAUAUUGGAAAGCUACCAAACAUCAAGAGGACAUUGGAGGGGGCUAUAUCACUAAAUGGGUAUAUUUAUAAUCGCUCAGGGCUACUCAACAUGAUGAGGCGGUUUAUUGGACAAAGGGAAUUGCUUAGGCCUGCUAAGACUCGGUUUGCAACUGCUUUCAUCACAUUAUCGCGAUUGCAUGAACAAAAAAACAAUUUGAGGAAGAUGUUUACAAGCUCAGAUUGGUCAGAUAGUAAAUGGGCAAAAGAGUAGAAGGGGAAAACUAUAGCCAACAUAGUUCUAAUGCCUUCAUUUUGGAACACUAUUGUGUUUUGCUUAAAGGUUUCGGGUCCCCUAGUUCGUGUGCUUCGUUUGGUUGAUGGUGAAAAAAAAGCUCCUAUGGGAUACAUCUAUGAGGCCAUGAAUAGAGCUAAGGAUGCAAUUGUGAGAAGUUUUAAUGGAAAUGAAGAGAAGUACAAAGAAAUCUUCAACAUCAUUGAUAAGAGGUGGGAGAUUCAGCUUCAUCGGCCUUUGCAUGCAGCAGGGUACUUUUUGAACCCGGAAUUCUUCUAUGAUAAGCCAGAAAUAGAGCAUGAUGCCGACAUUAUGAGUGAUUUGUAUAAAUGCAUCUUAAGGCUAACAAGAGACCCUGCUAAGCAAGAAAAAGUUGUGGCCGAAGUGAGUUUGUUCACAAAUGCCCAAGGACUAUUCGGGAAUGAGUUCGCUGUUAGGACAAGAAAGACUAGAGCACCAGGUUAGUUAUUUAGUUUUGUUUAUUUAAAUGAUUAGAUUGUAUUUUUGCUAAAAUAGGUGAAUUGUUUCACUAAAUUGUUAAUAUCUAUACUACAGCUGAAUGGUGGGCUGCAUAUGGAGCUUUAACUCCAAAUUUGCAAAAGUUUGCAAUGAAAGUCCUCAACUUAACAUGCAGUGCAUCAAGUUGUGAACGGAAUUGGAGCAUCUUUGAGAAUGUGAGUGACCAAAUCCAAAAUAAUUACAAGUAAUAGUCUAAUAGAGUCUUGAAUGUAACUUAAAAGUUAAAAUUUUAAAAUAUAUUUAUGAGCUUAUGAAUUUUUGCAGAUUCAUAGCAAGAGGAGAAAUAGGUUAGAUCAUCAACGCUUGAAUGAUUUGGUGUACAUCAAGUAUAAUCGAGCCUUGAAGAGAAGAUACAAUGAACGUAACACCAUUGACCCAAUUUCCUUGAAAGAUAUAGAUGAUAGCAAUGAAUGGUUGAUAGGGAGAAUGGAAUAUGAGGAUUCUCAUGGAGGUGCACAAGAUGAUUUUGUAUUUGAUGAUGACAAUUUGACAUGGGGUGAUGUUGCUAGAGCUGCUGGAGCUGAGGAAGCCAGGUUUGAUACUAGAGCUAGAGCAAGCUCAAGCAUAAUACCACCAACAAGGGGGAUAGCUUCAAGUUCUAGAACUUUGCCUUCUUAUUCACUAAUAGAUGAAGAUGAAGAUGGAGACAUGGUUGAUUCAGCAGAUGAAGAAAAUGGGGAAGGCUACAAAUGUGGUGAUGGAAAUGAUGAUGAUGAUGAUUUUGUUGAUUUAGAGGAGGAGUGAUGAUUGCUUGUUGUGGACAAAUUUGUGAUUUAAGUGUUUUUUAAUGAUGUUUUUGAAUUGUGGACAAAUUUCAUGUUUUGGACCUUUAGGUUUGGAAACUUUGGAUUUGGAUAUGUAUUAGGCAAUUAGCAAUAUGGAUUUGGAUUUGUUUUUAUGCUUGGAGUUCUUUAUUUUUAUGUUUUUUGUUUAUUAAAUUGAAGUUUUGGAUGAUAUUUGAUGAUUUAUGUGUUUAGGACAAAUAAAUGAUUGUUAAAUUUGAUUAUAUUAUAUAAAAAUAUAUAUGUAAAUUAGGGUGCGCCUCACUUCACUAAAGCCCGCGCCUUAGAUGUGCCUUGCGCCUUAGGCUCCAGGACUACUUUGCGCCUUGGUGCGCCUUGAGCCUUUUAAAACUAUGCUUGCCUCUUAAGUAUGAGGAAGAAAUGCCUCAAUUUGUUUAUAAAAUGGGCUAUAAAACGCCCUAGUGCAGCUAGACGACCUAUAAAACAUUGCAACUCCUUUUUGCUACUUAAGGUAGGUGUCUCAAGAACGACUUUUAUUUGAUCUGGAUUAACUUCGAUUCUCUUUUAAGUUACCAUAAAUCUUAAGAAUUUUCCUAUGCUAGCACUAAAAGUGUAUUUAGUCGGGUUAAGCUUCAUGUUGUACACCCAUAUUAGUCAAAAAAUUUCUUCUGGGUGUUGGGAGUGUUCAUUUCGGGUCAUGUUUUUUACCACAAUGUCAUCUAUGUAGACCUCUAUAGUUCGACCUAUCAAGGGUUUGAAGAUUUUUAGCAUCAACCUUUAAUACAUAGCACCAACAUUUUUAAGCCUAAACGUUAUAACCCUAUAGCAAUACAACCCUUGUGGUGUCACAAGGGCCAUCUUUUCCUCAUCUGGUUGGAACAUGGGGAUCUGGUGGUACCCGAAGAAAGCAUCUAUGAAGAAGAGCAUUUCGUGCCCGGCAAUGGCAUCUACUAUUUGGUCUAUUCCGGCAAAGGAAAACUAUCCCUUGGGCAAGCAUCAUUCAAGUUGGUGUAAUUGACGUAGACUCGCCACUUCCUUCCCUUCUUUGGGAUGACCACCGCAUUUGCCAGCCAGUCUGAAUAUUCAACUUCCCUGAUAAAUCCAAUUGUCAAUAACUUGUCAACUUCGGCCUAGAUGAUCCUCUCUGCCUGUCCGAGUAGAAGCGUCGAAUCUUCUAGUGGACGAGUUGUGAGAAAGGUGUGACAUUGAGCCGGUGUGAGGCUACAAAUGGAUGGAUUCCUGGCAUGUCUGAAUGAGUUCAAGCAAAGAUGUAUUUGUUUUGUUGGAGCACGCUUUCAAGUAGUUUCAUUUCAUCCAGCAUAAGGAGAGAAUUGGCAUAGGUAACUUGGUCAAUACCGCAUGAGAAAUGCAGUGGUUGGAGUGGGUCGACUACGGAUGGAUCCUUCUCCACUAGGCUUAGUAAUUGCUACUGCCCCUCCUUAUUUGAUAGUUCUGGGUGUGGCUCAUUAUUGGUCGGAUGUCUGGAUUCAAGCACUACUUGAUAACACUGGCAUGCAGCCAAUUGACUGCCAAAAAGAUCGAUCUGCCCAUCCUCGAUGAAAUAGCUCACCAUCUAAUGAUACGUAGAAGGAAUGACCUUCAUGCUGUGAGGCCAUACACGUCUCAUGAUGGCAUUGAAAUGGGAUAAAUCCUCUACCACCGAGAAUUGCACAUUUUGGGUGAUCAGACCAGCUUGGACAAGUAAUACAGCGUCUCCUAGAAAGGCUGUCGUGGCUCCACUGAAUCCAGAUAGUACCCGCCCUGGGUUUUCUAGGGUAGAUGGUGGUGAUUACUACUCAAAAAGUGUUAUUUGAUAGCUUGAAAUUAAUCCUUUUAAACACUUUUGAGUAGUAGUUUUGGUCUUUUAACUCAAUUGGCAUGUUAAGGACCCUUGAAAGCAAUUUUAAUCACUUUGUGUAAGUUUUGGUGUUUUUGUUAGUAAUUUGAUCACCAAAGCAAUCCAAGAUUGAGGAGAGUUAUGAGGAAUCUUGGGCAAAGCUUGGAAGUCAUUUGCCAAGAGUAAAUCCGGAAUGCAAGGAGAAGAAGUAAAGAGAAUCUGCCAUGAAGCAUAUUCUUGAUGACAGUCGUGGCAGCCACUUUUGGAGCACUUUCUGAAGUCCAAUUGAUGCAUGCUAUAUACCAUUUCAAAGCUCAGGAAGUCAACAAUCCAAUGCUUCAAACGGUGCGCAAUUCGGAGUUGAAACGAAGAAGUUACAACCAUUGCAAGUCAAUCACUCCAAGCUGAAGGAAGCAUUUUGCAAAGUGUUGCGAAAUCACCCUUUUGUUGCGAAGUGAUUUCGCAGCCUUUUUGUACAGUGUAGUGGAUUUCCUCCUGAAGUUGCCCGAUAUAUGCCGCAAGCUGGAAGCUGAGAACCUCAAGGUGGAAGCCAACUUCGCAGCCCUGCGAGAAUAGCUUUUUGCUGCGAAGUGAUUUCGCAGCCCUUUUGUGUGUCUGCGAAAUCUCGCAGACAUCAUUUUCUCUUGCGAAAUGGUCCAUAGUGCUUCCCGAUAUUUGCUACCGAUAUUGGGAGAUAUUUUCCAUCAGAUUUUUGUUGUCUAAAUCCCAAAAUACUCCUUGUAAGCCACCAAUUACAAGAUUCCUUAGCUUUUAAGUUAGUAAAAAGAACAAAUAUCCAUGUAAUAAUUUAGUUUUGUUUUAGGUUCAUAUAAAUACUCUUCAAGAGCCUAUUCUCAGAAGAGGAGACCCUUUGUAAAUUUUUGGGAAAGCAAGUAAAGUUCAGGCCUUUGUUUUGCCUUACCUUCUCACUUCGUAUUUUUAUUUUCUUACUAAGUUAUGAACUCUCUGAGGAAUUUUCCCCAGAGAAUGAGUAACUAAACCUCUAGUUCCUUGGAGCUAAGGUUGCCGGGGAAGGUUCCAAGUGCAAGAAUGCAAAGCUUUGUGGUUUUAGCCAGUAAUGAAGAGGAAGUGAAGUCUUUUAGUGAUUUCUAUGUUUUUAGUUAACUUAAAACACCUUAGAGUCACCUAGGCCAACACUUGGUAAGGCAAGUGAUUUCCAACCAUGGGAAUGCACUAGUUUACUCCUUGCGAGCCUCUGGGAGGUGACUUUAGGGUAGGAUUUUCUGGAAUUGCCAACACUUGGUAAGCUUUUGGACUCCAAGGAGACAUCCAUUAGUUAUCUCUUGCGAGCUUGAGAAGGGAAGUCCAAGGUUAAAGGUCACCUUGAAUGGUUAAGGCUAAGUGAGAGGCUUAAACCAUUGCAAGUUGUAUCAGUGAGAGAAUUAAAGUUGAAAUCUAAUUAAAGGAUGUAUCUGUACAACACCGGUUAGAGAAUUGACUAUAUGUUGAAUCUCUAACGCGAGGUAAUGAACCAUCUGACCAGAGCUAUGUCUUUUGCAUGAGGAACCACCCCAGUGAACCUAACUCUCCAAGGAAUGCUUUUCUUCCUAAGUUAUUCCCAUUACUUGUUUUGUUAGUUAGUUUGAAUCUAAAUCUUUACCAAUCAAAGUUUGUGUUUUAUUUCUUAAGCUAACCUUGAAAUGAAACAAGACCAAUUCACUUUGAAUUGAUAUCAUUGAUAACUUGUUAAUCCUUCCUAGUGAACGAUCCUAGAGCCACUAUACUAUAGUAGCUUUGUCUUUGCUACCCUAGUAUAUGGUGUAAUAGGUUAAAAAUUUUGUUGAUUACUCCCUCAUCCAAGGAGCACCAGCUGGACGUGAAUCAGUUGAGACACCAUCUGGGCAUGAAUCAGUGGGAGUCUCAUUUACUUGUAGGCAGACAAUUUUAAGAGGUCAGUUGAGUUGCUCAGAUCGAUUAGAACUCUUCUUACAUUAAACACGCUUAUUCCUAGGGUCAAGAUCAGGGCGUCUUCGUGUGGCUGUAAUACCCGGUUAGCAUUGACUGGGGGAAGGUAAUUAUGCCAUCAAUGGGGUGCGUACUCCCAUCUGCCAAGUUAUGUUGAAUGAAACUGAUCCAUUCCCUUACAAAUAUUGCACGGAGCAGCCUUUGCCUUUUCUGCUUGGAGUUUUAUUUUUUGUCAAUGGGGCCACCAUGAAUGUAGCUGAUAACAACCUUGGGAGUUGUUGAAGUUGUGGGGGAUUGGUUGACCAAAUCUCAAGCCAGUUCCUUUUGCCCACCAGCCGUGCAGACAUAUUGCUUCAAGUGCCCAACCUUGAUUAAUCUUUCCACUAGGUAGUGGAGAUUUCUACAUUGCUUCAUGGUAUGGCCAUGAUCUUUGUGAUAGGCACACCUACGGUUCCGAUCCCAUUUAGCCAAAUCUGUUUUGAUCGGCUUUGGCCACCUGAAAUCAAACAGAUCGCGGAUCAUUUGGAUGAUUUUUUCGUAUGAGAUACUGAGAGGGGUUAGGCUAACCUGACUCGGUUGCUGCUGGUCGUCCCGCCUCUUACUAGCUUGCCUCAAUUGGUUUGAAGGCUUCUAGCUUCCUGCAUGGUCGUUUCUUGUCGGACGAUUAGCGACCAGGACUUGCUGAGUGGCCGCGUUGACGUCGUCUUCGAGCCUUAAGUACUUUUUGGCUCGCCUGAACAAAUCGUCCAUUGUCGGUGGUGGUUUUUUUGUGAGAGAUUCGAAAAACGGCAUACCCGAAAAUAUGCUUCUCUUAAAGAUCUAUAGGAUAGAGUAUAUGCUACAAGGCUCCACUUGGAGCACAACUUGUCCAAACCAUUUCAUGAAGUCUCUUAAGGAUUCGUUUUCCUGCAUCUUAAUGUUCUGUAGGGUGUUUAUGUUCUGCUUGUGGCAAGUUGAACAUAAGUAGUGUCCCACAAAGGCUUUCGAUAGAUCCCAAAAAUUGUCCAUGAAGCCCUUCGAAAGGCAAUGGAACCAUGAAAAAGCCUAGUCGUGCAGACUCGUUGAAAAGACUUUACAUAACAGUGCAUCAUUCCUUAUGUCCAGGGUCAUGAGUUGCCUGUAGUACAUAAUAUGAUCGAACAAAUCGCUCAUUUCGUCGUACGUCAUAAAUUUUGGUACCAUGAACUUCCUUGAGGGUUCAUAGUUAAUGAUAUGAAGGCCAAACGACGUGCAGAGCAUGUCAUCUAGUCAUCGGGUGACGGAGCCAGGUGGAGCUCGGUUCACUGAAGUCUUCGCUUGCCACUAUUUGGGCGGAUGGGAGGGUCAUUCUAACAUGAUUGUUGUGGCCGAGGGACCCAAACAGGCCUCCAGAGUUUCUACUACGUAAGGUUUUCCUCCUAUGCUAGGUGACCAGGGUCCCAACUAGGCCUGUAUUGCGUGAGAUAGACAUGACCUCCUAUCACGCCUUCUUUUUGUUGAGACCUAGGUGGAGUCAAAACUCUCUUCCAACUACACCGAGCGGGUUGGUGGAAGCUUCUCUUUUGAUUAUAUCUCAUGACUGCUAGAGGAAGACUCUAUGUUCCUGGGAAAAUACGCAUCGUCAUUUUGUAUAGAGGUUGCUCACAGGCUCUUAGGCUGUCGCUUAUGAGAAGGGCUUGAUGACGAUACUUGGGCACACAACUUGUCAUUCUCUUCCUUAAGUCUCCUAGUCUCGUGAAGUAGGGAUUGUACAUGUUGCUCACUCUCUCGUUGGCGUCUUUCCAUGCUUUCACGCCAGUCAAAGUAGUCCUCACUACCCAUAGCUGACGAUCAACUUCUAAAGGGUGUUGACAUCCUUAAACGUUCCCACAGACGACACCAAUGUUAGUUUCCAUCCAACUGGAGUCAGAUCCAUUUAAGUUAACAAGGAUUAGACAGUCUUCCUCUUUACGUUGUGCCUUUUAGAGCUCCUACCCAGCAAUGAGGAGAUUGGUGAGCUUCUUUCCUACACAAAGGAUCUCCAGACAGGUGGUCCGAGCACGCCCCUUCAAAGCUAAAGUUAGACAAAAAUAAACUAGGCUCCUCAAAGGAGGGAGUGAGUAGGUCAGCUUAUGCGUGCCUACCUUGUUUGUGCCUUAAGAGGAUUUUUAUAGUGCUGAAGAGAAAACCACUGUAAUGCUGACUAAACACUUUGACCUUCUCUGUAAUAAUGAUUGUCUUGCGGGUGGCAAGACAAUCAUUACAGCUUUGGGCGACUAGUAGGUACCGUCAAAUGAUAUGCCAUGAUGUUUGACCGUGCAACCGUUUGUCCCUUCAACUUGCUAGUGGUAUAAGGUUGUGAGUGGUAAUUAGUUGACAUGGACUUGAGGAUUAGGGGAGAUCCCAUCAGCCAUUCCCAUGUCAGAUGUGAAUGAUUACACAUAACAGUGGGCCUUAAAGGCUUAAUUGGGUGGUUUCGUCUGUUUAGGGAGUCCAGUCUUAUUUGUCGCUUGUCCUCAUAGGGGAAGGGCCCCUUCUUGUCUGUGACCAGAUGAAUUGGACAUGGUUCGGAUGGAAGAAUCUGAACACUACUUGUCCCGUUAUCCGAAUAGUGCUGGGGUUGGAAACUAACGUGGAAUGACAUGUGGAGGGGAGCCCCCACAAAUGGUUACUAACUUCUAUUUCCUUAUUGCUUUUCAUGAGGAAAUGCCACCAACUAUAUGGAAUGAGGAUCACUACUACAAAUGGAGUGCAAAUAUUGGGGAUAUUCACUUACAAAAGAGAUCUUUGUUUUGAAAGGAAAGAGAUUCAAAUGGGAAGGACUUUGGGGGAAGAGACGAAUCCAAUUGCAUGGGAUUCAUGGAGACCACCAGAUUUCCUUAAAAAAGGAAGGUUCACACUACGGGAGGCUUCCGUCCGCCUAGGGCACGAAUCACAAGCAGUCUAGUAUAAAGACCAAUCACCAUCUCGCCCAUGGGCAUAAGACCACCAAAUUCGUGCACUCACGAGAUCUAGACAGACAAAACCAACCGAGCAUUAUUCAACUUCGCCUGGAAUGCAUCGAUUGUAACAAACAUUAAAUGUCUUGAUUGACAUGACUACUAUGAAACCAAAACACCAUACUUUAAGGCUCAUCAAGGCAAAACAACUAUUAUGAGCCAACAAUUAUUAGCAUUAACGGUGGAAAUGCGCAAUCAAAGGCAUAAUAAAGACGCUUGAGAAGACAUUACAUUGGAAAAAAGAUAAAACAUCAUUCUGGGACAUAGGAGAGGUAUGUUGCCACUUUUCCAAGAAUCUUUUGCGCAAGUCUUUUCUCUUUGACUUAUUGAUCUUUUGAUAUAUGCGUUUUUUUAGUUUUAAAGAAUCAUUGAUGAUCAUAUAUUAAAGUUUGAAUGAAAAUUAUUGAUGAUUGGUGUUAAAUAUUGUUUGAUACAUGAUUGAAAUUAUCUUUAGGAUCAAUUUGGAGAAUCUCUAUAUAUGAAAUUUUCUAAAAAUUGUUUUUUAUUACCAUUGUUGAUAGUUCACUUCACCUUUGAACUUGUAAAUUGAAAUCCGACCAUUCAAAAACUUUUUAAAAUUUUUCUAAUUAUUUUGUAGUAUUGUAGACUUCUUGAAUUUGAUUUUAGAAUUUUUUUUUUAGUGAAAAAUAAUUUUUCCAAUUAAAAGAUAUAAAUCAAUCUUUCAAAAGGUUUAGUUGUCACUCUGUUUUAGACACUCAAUCUUGUUUCUUAAAAUUAAAUUAUUAAAUGACCUCUUUAGUUUCUUUGGACAUUUUUCACUUAAUUUAUACUUCUUAAAUUCAAUUUUUUACAUAUAAAAUAUUAAGAAAUAAUUAUUGAAAUGAGAGAUAUGAUUUUUUUUUCUUCUUGCACCUAUUGCACAGGUGCUCUUCUAGAGCUGCGAGAUGUUAAUUUAAUUUUAAAUAUAUUAUGCAUAUGAUCUUGUCCUAUGAUUAUUUUUCAUAUAAAGUAGACAUAUUAAUGAGUUGUGUGAAUUUUUGUAGAAUUUUUAAGACAUCUCUAAGUUAAUUAAAAAAUUAAUUCUCUCAUGCUAUGGAAAAUUACUUUGUUCUGGACAUCUCUUAUGAAAUCUGGUAGUAAAUGGGAUCUAAUUAAUUAAUUUGGCCACUUGGAUGAUAAACUAGACAUAUAGGAGAUAUUCCCUGAAAAUUUUCAUGAUGAAAUUCUACUUAUAGAUAUUAUGCAUUUGAAUUUAUGUUUGAUUGUCUUAUGAAAGCACUUGUAGCUAAUUAAGGUACAAAUUUAGUGAGAAAGUCUUCUUUCUAUUAGACCACUUCAAAUAGACAAACUAUGCACCUCUCUUUUAUCAUCACAUGUAAAUGACCUUAAAGGAUGUGAAGAUCACUCUUAUAACUACCACCACUACUUACGUGGAGAGACAAAGGAUUAGCUCCUCAUUAACCAUUUCUUAGAGGCUAGGGCAAAUGAAACAUACCACUAAAGUAAAAUAAAAUAAAUAAAUUUAAAAUAAAUGUGUAAAAUGAAACACCUAAAAAAGAUAAAAUAAAAUAAAUUUAAAACACAUACCAACCCGUUUCACAAAAAUUAGAACUCGCAAACAAUUGUUAAACAUAUAUUAUUAUUAGAUCCUUGACAUGAUCGAUACGCUUCCGAGGAGAGCUGCCUUGUCCAUCAACAGUAAAGAAAUAUUGAUCCUUUUCAAAUUCUAACAAAGAAUGUAUGUAGGAUGUAUAACAUUUUUAAGGACUAGGCAUAACCAACCAAACUUUUUUCGCUACUGAUUCUCAAGAUAUUACCUAAAAACAUGCAUAGACAAAAAAAUUCCAGACAUGAGCUAAAUCAAUUAAUCAAGAAAAAAUGGAUGAUUGAAAGAGAAAAUGAUGCAGUCCCUUUUCAGACUUGAUCAGUAACCUUCAUGUGGUUGAGCAAGUGACAAUGGUGUCGGCAUGGAUAUUGAAGACUUUGGGCUUUGUAACUUUUAGCAAAAGUUUAAAUAUAAUACGCAAGGUUACGAAGGAGAUAGAAAAAAGACUAAAGACUUAUGUACAUGAAAUGGUAUUGAUCUUCAAUCUCAUCUCAAAAUAGAAUGAGAUAGAUUCAAAUAUAGGACCUGUUCUUUGCGGAGUCAGGAAGCAUAAUAUAAUGAAUGAUAGGAGUUUCAGAUUUUGACAUUCGUCACUGAGCCAACACCAUUCAUAAGUAGGUCUGUUUUAUUAUUGAAAAGAAACAUGAGGCAAAGCAUAGGCACCAGUACAAAAAAGGCUUAUGAGCAUAACACUUGAUGUAGAUGCUAUAAAAAAUGUGAUGGUGGCAGCAAUUAGCUUCCCAGCUUCAGGCUUUGCCAGGAAAAGUUGAGAUGCUAUCAACUUCAUAUGUUAAAAAAUUCAACAAAUAAUUAUAAAAACAAGUCCUCUCUCACCAAGGAAAAUACUCUGAAAAAUUCCACUUUUGCUGCCUUUAUCGGCCAAAAAUAAAAUCAAGCUGACAAGAGUUAAAUAGAAACAUGGAUUCAAACAACACAAGUGAAAAUUACCUGGCAUGCAUCUCCAUGCUCAUGGUCAUCAUUUGGCUUUUUCCAUACCUAGAGUGAUUAAAGUGAAUCAAUUGUCAGUUUAAGAUAAACUUGAAGCAAAAUGGAAAUUGAAUGAGAUCGAGUGCAUUUUCAAACCAAGACAAAAAUAUGCAGCCCAAGGGCUUCACACGGAUCCCCUGUAGUUAUUAUUAUUAUUAUGGGACCCAUGUAUAUGCACUACAGAAAAGGCUUCCAUUAUUA
rnacentral:lncRNA from 1 species